GCGAACAACGGAGACGCCCCGGCUCGGCCGGCAGUUCCGCGUCGAGCGAUCCGACGAUGACAACAGCGGUCGGUAUAUUCGCGAUGUCAGCCGAGCGCCCGAGCCGCCGCCAACUUCCGAGGGAAGCCCGGCGGUUCGGCGGUAAAAAAAAAAAAAAAAAAAAAUUAAAAAAAAUAAAAAGCCGGAGCCGCGGGUGACGCCACUCGGCUCGAACGACUACUGCCACGCGCCGCCGGGUCCCGGCAGAAGUCGAGUUAGUGAAAACGCGACCGCAGUGGACAUAACGAGUCCGAAUGUCGCCAAAUAUUUGCCUAAAAUAGGAAAGUUUCACUCCACACUGACAGAAACCGCCGCCAUUUUGGGAACCGUCCACGUCCCGUGGUCUUGGGGGGUGGUCGGACGACACUCACAUAUUCCAAAACCUCGCUGGUGAGCUGAAACCAUCUCCUGGUUUAUAUAAUAUAUUCAAAUAAUUCACUCUUCAUAUGCACAUGGAAUUAUUUUGGCUGUGGCCGUUUCCGUUCAGCUUGCCACCCCCCCAACAUUGAGGUAAUGGUAGCGUCCAGUGUUCAGCUGAUAUAAGGGAAACCCCGACAGUAAGUGACGGGAACGUCUCUUCUGCUGCUGAUGCUGAUGUCAGGGGACGAACAUCUCCGUGUCGAGCAGCAGGAGCAGCCAUCACCAGGACAACUCUCCGACAAGGCUCCAGUUACAAAAGGGCUAAUAAGCUGUAAUCAACGUCUGGAUCCAUAGCUAAUACAUUACCUGCUCAUUCGUCAAGGGUCAGUGACCACUGAAGACCUGAUGGAGUGAUGCAGAACCCUGUUUGGAGGAUGUGGUGUAAAUGUUAAUCAUCAGUUUCCAGAUGGUUUGGUCCAGGCGUCCUGCAGACCUUCUCCAGAAAGCCAGUGUGGACAUCUCUCUAAUGAGUCAAAGAGAAAGAGAGUGUCUUAAUCUGGAGGACGAUGUCCCACAACCUGGCAACCCAGAACGUGUUCUUUUUAAUGUCUCAUAAGUGACCUAUGGAGCAUCAGCCUCCCUCCACUGUCUCCAGCCUUAGCUGGACACCCGGACAAAAAGAGGGGACGUCAGGCCCCAGAGCUUCAGACCAGGACCAGUGGAUGCCCUCUUUAGCCCCCCGUGGAGCGUCCCGCCCUCACGCUGGACGAGGUCAUCAAUGUGCACAGAGACGUUUUAUCAGAGCUGAGUUUACAGUGAAUGGACUCAGUAACUGUGUGUGUGUGUCUCAGGUUUGUUGCUUUCCCUCUGUUCUCAAGACCGUAUGCCUGCCUGCUUUGUAAAAGGUAUCAGAUGAAACUUUGUUUCAUCAUCUCGUCACAUUUAUCUUUAAACGUGACCUGAUGUUUGUUCCAGCGCUGUAGCCAAGAUUCUGGGUAAUACUGAGUCUCCACCGUUCGUAUAUGCAUAUUUGAUUUAUUAACCUAACUCUUCUACACUGACAAAAUAUGGUUUCAUACCGUAGUAAGUAGUCAAAUUAAAGGAUAUUAAGUCCAAAAUUAAUGAAUUAAUGUUGGGAGGUUGGGACAUGAGUUAAUCCAGGAUUUUUUUAAAAAACCUUUACUUUAAUACCGUCACUCAUUUCACUGAAAUCACACAAACAGUCGUCGUGGUACAAAUCAGCUCCUUUAUUUCCUCAAGCACCCGCGGUGCAGCCCAUAUUAUUAAAUCUCUGCUAUAAGUUAAGAUAUUUACAACGUCAUUCAAGGCCCUUCACAAAAUGUAUCACGACCGUCUAUUUACAUUGUACAAAACUUUGCAUACGUUAUGAUCCGUACACCAAACCCUCUUCCCUUGGACAAAAAAAUAAAACUAAACAAAGAAAGCAGUCACAUCUUUUCACCCAGACCCCAAGUUGUGCAUUUCUCACCGAAAUCAUUCCCCAACCCAACCACCACUGUUUUUUUUUUAAUUUUUUCUUUUUCUUUUCAGACAGGCAGGUACAAAGGUCACAGUCAACGGGUCAGCUACUGAAGAACUCAAGACUGUCAGUAAGGCAGGGAGGUCCUGAGUCCUCAGUCGGAUCACUGCACACCUCCGUCGCAGUGUUCGUAAAUUCACUCAGGCUGAUAGAAAUCGACAGCAGUAAAUGGGGACGAAUCACGUUUUUACAGUGUAUGAGUUUCUGUUGCUCGUGCUGGCAGCAUCGUUCUCAGAGGGAGGCAGCUCUGUGGCUUCAGACAUGGCACAGAGAGGGGGAGGGAAAUAUGAAGCUUCAUGUAGGAGGACACGAACAUCACUCUGUGGUCAUCGCUGUCAUUUUGUGUUGGGAUUUUGUGGUGAAUCAUUUUGCUUAUUCAUUAAAUAAAUUCAGCCCAUCA